GGUUUCAUAUAAUGGGAUUGUAAUCAAAUCCCAUUAUAAUUUGUAUUUAUCAAAUCCUUCUUUUUCUAUAUUUUUAGAAAUGCUGCUUAUCUAAAAGUUAUUCUUAUCUAAUCCCAAAUUAAUUUUUUGUCAUUAUUUACGUAAUUUUUUAUUUUUAUGUUAAAAUAUCAUCAUUGAACUCAACAUGCUAUAGAAUCACAGGCUCAUAAAGAUCUUAAAACAUUGCUCUGUAGGGCUAAAAGCCCUGCUCCACUAAAUGAUAUUACAGAGGUCCUUCUGUGAGAUAUAACUUGACUUUAAUCAUAGCCAACACACAAUGAGAACUUAGUCUACCACCUCUGUAUCUAUAGAGUGACAGAAGCCAGGUUGAUCCAGCUGGUCCUCUGAGUAGAAGAUCCUGCUAACCUCAGUCUCUUGUGCAUGGUAUUGUUGUAACAAAUACUAACUGAGAUAUGUUCAACAUUGUGAACAUCUGAUCUCAAAGGAUCAGUAAAGACAACCCACAGUGAAAGUAAAGUUCAAGAUCAGUAGGUCCUCUGUUAGAGGAGGGACCUCUGAUAGGUUGGCUUACCUGCAAUAAAGUUGAUGGCCAGUUGAGUGCAAUUAUACACAAGUCCGUUGCAUGUAUGUGCAGCUCAAACAGCAUCUAGGUCUCAGAAAGAUAUUGCUUCUAAUAGUAAGGAGAGCAUUCAAGAUACAUUCUUUCCCCAUUAUUAUCCCAUUGGAUGAUUGACAAGGAUGAGAGACUGGGCAUGUAGGCUACAUCAGAUACAAAGCAGAGGAGAUCUUUCCCUGCUUUGUAUCUUGAUGCAGCAGCCUACAUGUAAUAUGAAGACUGCCAUAGACCAUCAUGGGGAUGAUAUUAACCAAUGCUCUGCAAUGGCUGGCCUCUGGUGCCUUGCUAUGGCCAAAUAUCAUAUGGGGUAAUUCCAUGAGAUUUGGAACUCUCCCUAGAGGAGCAAUUUUCCCCAGUCUAAGAGGACAGAGUACCCAUCAACCUGAAAUCAACCACUCUCAGACUGUUGCUGUUUUAGUUUUUAUUCCUUGGCCAUGCAUCCCUUCAGCAUUGUAUGCCAGCUUGGGAUUUGGGACUCUUUUAGAGGACUCAUAUCAUGUGCAGAGCAAAUGGUGAACCAAUUCUUAAUCCCAAGUCCACAGGGACUGAGAAGUUGAGUAGCAAACCAUAAAGCAUUCACUGGCGAGGAGUGGGUGCAGCCAAGUUCUUUCGACACAAUGGAUGAAUUUCUUCACUUGAGACAGUGUCUGGAUUAUCUGGCAAGAGCCUCUCCAAGUUUACCUGACACUGCAGGACCUUUCUAUAGAAAGUCAAACAAGGCCUGAGAUGAUUUAUCUGGCUAGGACUUUCCACGGUGGUCUAUUCUAGUUCCACCCUCUAUUU
rnacentral:lncRNA from 1 species